CGCUAUAUAAAUAAUAACGAUGAACUCCAGUUUUGAAAGUACAAUCUAUCUAUCUAACACUUUCAUCACCACUCACCAGCAGCAGAUACUCCGAUGAAGCUUCCGCGAACAACGACGACGACGGGAGAGUUAUUCUGGGGAUACUUGUUCGUGAUAAUUGGUUCCGUAUCCUUCUUCGGAUUCGUCUUCGCAGUCAUCGCUUCAACUUUGCUACCGCUCUCUCAAAAUCCGCUAAACCAAGGUCUGAAGAAUGAUAGGUACUACUACUGCUUCUUGGUCCCCUUGACUAUACCUGUUAUAACGGUUGCCGUCUACUUUCAUUGGCUAAGCAUGAAGCUCUUCAAGCACGCCUGAUACAUCCCAUUAGAAUUUGUGAAUUUCAAUUUCACUCUCUCAGCUUGAUGAAAGCUAAUUUGAUGAGAGUGUAUAUGCAUUCUUCUAGAGUUUUGAUGUAUUCAGGUGAAAUUAGAUUUUUCAAUUUCUUGUAAUUACUGCAAAAUUAGAUGAAAUCUGUGAGACUGUUUAUGCUCAAUCCAUUUGAUGAUAAAUAUGCAAGAGUGACGUUUGAAAUUAAA